GCCCCUUCCGAGCAUGUCUUCCCCGUCACAGAGAACUUCAUGUUGGCGCCUCCAAAAGUUGCCGGAGGAAUUAGGGAACAGGGUGGGGGUGGAUGAGACUGAGGCCAGAGAGGGGGCUGGCGGUCUGCCCUGAGGACCCCCGUCCCACCCGCCGCCAUAGCUGCAUGGCCCCGGGACCUCCCUGUCGUACCUGAGAGGAGGGCCUGGCCCGUGAACUGCCCGUACACGGAGGCAGCAUGGGGAAAGGCAUUGAAGGGCGGGACCCCGGAGCCGACUUGCUGCAGAUCCAAAAAGGCGGAGCUAGAUAAAGAGGAAGGGGUGGAGCUAGAACUGGACACCUCGGGGGUUUCCUGCUUUAUGGCGAAGGUGAAAGAACAUCAGUGUAUCAGCACAGCAAAUAUUCCAAAUGCCAGGCUGGAUUCCCUCCAAUUACCAGGACCUCCAGGCUUCUCCUCCUUUCAAGAACUUUCUGACCCUGGAUCCAGUCUAAAUGUUGGUUAUAAACUCACCUGACAUCCACAGGGCCCUUCCAAAAUACUGUCAAGGCUGACUGCUGGUGCCUGGAACCUGCACACCCUCCUGGGACUCUGCAUCUCUGCUGGGGCUGGUUUCUCCUCUGAGCCACCUUAAGGAAUCCCACCCUGACCCGGUCAGAGCUCACCAUGCCUCCCUCUCCUACUUGCUCAGCAUUUUGUGUCUAUCUAGACUGAAGCCUUUGCUUUCUCUCUGUGAUUAUGGUGAAAGUUCAGUUUGCUUUCCUAUCUCUAGAAUGUCAGCACGAAGGCAGAGGCAUGGUCUCCUGAGUUCCAUAACCCCAAAGCCUAACUCCCUGCCUGCCACACUGAGGGGCUUAGUAGACAUUGACUUACUAAAUUGAAUAGUUGAGUAAUAAUGCUCUUUGAAAUAAUUUGGAGUUAGAUCUUGAGCCUUGUGUGGCCAGAGGAUGGGUGAGGACACAUCAUAAAAACUAAAGGUAACUGAGCAUGCCAGUGGUUGGGGUGAGAAAUUUGCAUGGAGCACUCCAGACACAGAGGCAGCAAAACCCAAGUGCUGGGAAGUCAGAGUGAGAGAGUGAAGGGGCAGUGAGUGCUUCUUUAGGAGCUGGAUCAAAACCUAAGAUGAUCUGGCCACAUGGUGCAGACUGAGCACACACUUGGGAGAGAAAUGGGCCAGGAGGAGAGGAGAGAGGUUCACCACAGGACAGUGGAUGACUGGGAAUAGAAGCCCUCCCCAUGGUGGACCAAGAAGUCUGUGAAGCUGAGAGAAAGACAAAAGAAAUCACGACUUCUGUAGGUAGCUGGGAUGGAAACCUCAGGGGUGACAGGGUCUUUAAAGGAAAUCUCAAGGAAGGCAUCAUGUUCUGGGUGUGCUCCAGGGAUGCUGAGUAAGAAAAGACCAGCCUUUCUGUGUGUGUCUUUACUCUGCCACAAGGCACCUGGGCUCCUAAAUGACCAAUACACAUGUGCUAUACUGGUGCCAAGAAAGAAGGGUGUUUUGUAGGAAAGUCAAGGUGAGAGGAGGUGCCCAGGACUUGGCUCCUUUCUUUGAAGGGUGACGGUGUAAAUUCUCCAUGCUGGGGAUCCUACUGAUGGAUGGAGGCAUGUCGAUCUCAUCAUUUCACAGAGUGGGGAGCUAUGGCCACAACGUGCCUAUCACACAAGUCCAGCCUCACGUCAGCUGGACACCAGCUGUUCUGACACUUGUCAGCACAUGGGGCACCCGGAAGUUCAUGGUGUUCUGCAAAGAACGCCACAAAACAGUGAGCUCAACUUCUUGAAAGUCAUAAUGUGUUGCUAAGUCCGAUCCCAGAUCCUAAAAAUAAUAUGAGGUAGUGGCCAUUGAACAGAAAAAAUUUACAUCUUAAACUUGAAGAUAAGUACAAGUGUACCUUUUUCUACCACUGUUGUUCAGUUUUAUUAUAUUGACAAGCACCUCUGCCCACCCUGUGGGGUAAAACUGUUUGAAAGUGUUUAUGAAAGUUUUAUAUAAAUAUUGGUUGAUCAAAUGUACAAAAUAUGCAUGAUGGCACCAUAUUGUGUAUAAUAGUGACAAAUACAGUCUAUGUGGGUGGAGAAACAAGCUCGGUGUUGUGCAUGCGGCUGUGGUUUGUGUUCACACUUCUCCUUUAGAGUGUAGUAGACAGAACAUGCCUGAACUGCCUGGGGCUGAGGGGUCUCAGGCGCAGAGUGGCCCAGGAAUUCUGAGCAAGGACAGAAUGUUAGAGAGAAUAUCCUGAGCUGAGCAGAGAGGCCUGCCCAUGCUAGCUGGCAGCCACCUGCCUUCAGUGCUUCAUUCUUGGGGGACCUUGAGGCCAGUUCUUGAGUGGAUGAGUCCUGCCGCUACUGCUGCUGCCCACUUGGUAGCUCUGUCCUCAUCUGGGAAGAGCCACUGUGAACCCCAGAGACCUAGUGGUGCUAGGGGCUGAUGCAGGCAAAUGACUGGCUGCCCCUGGAUCUUAUGUGAAAACAAGAAUGCUGGACCAAAAGGUCUCUACAGGGCUCCAUGACUACCCAUGACCCGUAACUUCAGUGAGGAGCUAGUGGCCAGGAGGGGCUCAUGGUUGGACACUGGUAUUCCUCUACUCAGACCUUAAACCACAGGUUGCAAGAACAGGGAGGUCACAUGUCAGUGACCUCAUGCCUAAAUAGAUGCAUAGCACAGAGCAGAUUCCUGGAUAGCUUACACCCUACUUUCCCCAGUGCAUCGAUUAUGACUUCCUUUCUAGCAACUGUGAGUACAGCCGGGACUCAUCAAUCACACCUGUAACUUCCCAGCUGCAUUUCUCAGGGUCUCUGAAAGCAGGGCCUUCUCUGGUCUUUUUAAAUUACCCACAGACCUAGGACAGUCUUCUGCACAUACUUCUACAUUUUAAAGGCUUACUUUUAGUAUGUUUAUGUGUGUGAGAUGGGGAAUAUUGUAUUCAUGUGUGCAUGUAUAUGUCUGUGAGUACUGUGGUCUGUGUGUGUAACUGGGUAUGACUGUGUGUGUCAUAUGGAUACAGGGGACUAGAAUGAGGACAGCCAGGUGUCCAGGCUAUAAGAUCUAAGGAGGCACUUGCUCUCAGGGCCAACCCUGCCCUUGCGUGAGCCUGAGAGAGAGAGCCUCCUGGAAUUUUGCACCUUGAGUGCCUUCCUGCUUCACCCUAAUCCCCCCGGUUGUCUGUAUGUUUGGAUGUGAGUGUUGUACAUAUGCUGUGUAUGUGUGUGCAUGCAUGUGAGUGUGCAUGGGUGUGUGUCUGUAUGUCUCAGCAGCUGUCACUGGGCUUCCCAGUCCCUGUCAGCAGGCGAAGGAGGCCCCUUCAUUUCCUUGGGUCCUGCUUAUGCAGCACAGGCCACAGCAAAGGCUCCCUGGGUUGGGUCAGCCCUCACUCUAACUCAACAUGCCCUGGAAGUCACCACAGGGUCAUGGAAAGAGUCCUGGUGAUGAGAUGGAGUGUCUGCUCUGCCACAAGGGCUGUGGGACCAGGGUCGGGGCAUACCUCUCUGGGUCUCAGUUUCCUCACUGGUAAGAUGUGGCAACAGAAUCUCAUCUGUGAGCCCCCUCUAGCCUUGAACAACUCUGGAUCCAGGUAGACCAGCAUAAUGAAAGCCUAUGAAGCUUCUGAGAUGUGCGAGGCAUACAUUGUCCCAGGUACUCAAGUAACUCAAGUCUGGAAGCUGCGAGCCACAGAGAUCAAGCCUUCUCCAAAAAUUGGACUGCAAGGCAUGCCGUACAAACAGAGUGCUAGGAGACCUUGGGGAGGUGGGGAAGAGGAAGAGGAAUCAUGGACAGCUUCAUGGGGAGGUGGCUUUGGAGCUGGGAUGGGUGAGGACAGCUGGAAUGUGGGCAGCACGUGACCAAGUGCUUUGCAGACAUGGCAUGGCCCCCAGCCAGGCCCUGAGGAAAGGAGAGUCUCAGGACAGCAGCUAUGUCACUGUAAGCAGGACCCUUGAAAGCAGGUGCCACCUGCAAAAGGGGGAGCCCUGAGGCCCAGGCAGGCCUGUCACAGUGUGGGGCACCUGUCUAGACAGCCCCAUGGCCAGCAGUGGGGGUGGGCCAUGGGCCAUGGGGACCUUCCUGGUAUGGGGUACUGCCAUGUCCCCAGGGAAUAUGGGGGGCCCAGGAAGGUCCCCAAGGCUCGAAGGACCCAGGUCUUUUCAUACUGCCAAAGAGAUGUAAGGCCUACAGAGGGGAAAGUUUGCAUAUCUGUGAAGGCAUGGAGCCUAGGCAUUGGAAGUGUCCAGUAAGCAUUUUCAUUUGGCAGAAGUAUCUCCAUGGCACUUCUACCUACAGCCCUGCCACAUUUUGCCACAAACUGUCCAGCAGCCCUGAGAUGGAGCCCCAGUGUAGACCGUCAUGGAGCACACUGGCUCUGGAACAAUGAGGAGCAGACUGGAGAAAGCCAGAUGGGGUUUACCUGUCAACAGCCACAACAUAGUUGUGCUGGGGUGACUGUUCAAGAAAAAUGAACUUUGGUGCUCCUGCCGAAUGGGUUGUUAGUGUUCAGUCCUUUUCCUACCACUGAGUUGUUUUGUCUGAUCAUUCUUCCUCCUGGUUCUGCGGGUCUGCCUUCUUGAAAGGGAAGAGCAAGACUCCAGCUCCCUGCCCUGUAGAGGUGCCUUCUACCUUGCUCAGUGUUGAAGCAAAGGAGCAAAGCAAAGCUUAAGUCAGAGAUUUGGUGCUCAGCUAAUCACAGAGACUUUUAAAUGUCAACCAGGGUUUGCUAUCAGGCCAAAGCUGGAUUAUUAUUACCCAAAGUAGAAAAUUGUGAGACAGAGGCAGGUGGGGAGGGAGGGAGAGAGAAGAAAGCAGAAGGUGGAGGAUACGUGGAUUUAAUUUUUUAAAAAUAAAUAUAUGAUUCCGUGUCAAUUAAAAACAAGUACCCCAGGCAAGUCUUCCUGCAGUCCUGUCUUAGCCGCACACACAGCAUAACUGCAAACCCACUUGAGCUCAUUUUUGCUCAAAGACCAACUCUAUUAAACCCUUAGAAUGUUCUGGAUUUCAACACACAGUCCACAGACAGCCAUUCUAUCAAAAGCUUAGUGUUUUCCCUAUGACUGGGUUUUCUGGUAAGGUGAACUAAGGCAUCCUUUUCCAUUUCAGGCUGUGGUAACAGCAGAUAACAGCCGCAGAGGUCAUAGCCAGCACUUUCUAUGCGUCCCUUCAUUUAAUCCCAGUACUCCUAGGUGGUAGAUCUAUUAUUUUGUCCACAUGAAUUAUUGAAAAGUCUGUCCUAAAUUUUAAAUGGAACGAAGUACUGGGUUGCAAGUUACUGGUGGCUGUUUCACAGGAAAUACUACGACAAUGGGACUUUGGGAAUGUGUUCUGGAGACUCCACUCCUUGGUGACUACUACAUGGAGCACAGAAAAUUGUCUUGAGUGGCAGCUAUGUGCCAGGUGAGGAGACAGGUUUUACUCACAUGACUCCCCAGAAGCCCUGCAGCAUCCCCAUAUUUUAUAAAGGGGAAGUACAAGCCCAGAGAGACAUCUGACUUGACUAAGUUCACACAAAAACAGCAAGGUCUGGGCCAAGAUGGAAGCCCGGGCUUUGCCUUCUUCUUCUGCCUGCAGGGCAGGGGCUUUCAUCCUGGCUUCACGCUGAUUUCAAAAGCCUCUCAUUCUCUUGACACCUCAUGGCCCCUGAGUUUAUCCCAAGAAUAAUAAGUUCUACUGUCCUCCUGGAGAUGCCGAAGAAUCAAAACUGCAACACACAGAGGGCCUGGGUGUGCGCGAACACUGUAGUACACACCGAUGACAGCAGAUUAAGCCAUUUCUCUCUUAGGUGCGUCACCCAACCAGCUCCUGGACCCUUCUGCUGUGCUGCCCUGACAGUCACAAUAUGUCCUAGUGGACUAAUUAGCACUAACUACCCAUGUCACCCCAAGGCCAUUUAAGAAGACAAAUAAAAAAGACAAAACCAAUGAGUAUUGUGGCUGAAGAUGACGAAAAAAAGUUAAAAGCAGGGAGGAAUGAAUUAUUUUUUCUUUCUCAAUCUCUCCCUCUGCUUAAACCAAAGAGAGGUUUUCAUCUGAGAGCCCGGGAGCUAAGCAGCUACUUUCUACAUGAAAAAGUGAAAACAUUAAAAUAAAAUCCCUUUCUUUCAAGCUAACGUUCUAAAACUGAACCUCUGCAGAGGCUCCAAAAGAGAAAUGCCUUGCUUUUAAGCCCCUGAGUGAGAGGGAUCCUGAGGAAGUGGCAGAGGGGAUGAACCUAAGCUUUGGGACAUAACAACCGGCACCUCCAGUGGCCACCACUCCUAGCUAUGCUGCCUGUGGAUGGGGCCCCCAGUGCUGGCCCCUAACAGCAUGGGGAAGCCUCCCCAGCCACUCUGAAGCUGUUCGCAUCACAUCCAAGAUGAACCUAGGCAGGGAGGCUGAGUGUGCUUGGGAGAUGCCAAGUUAGGGAAGUAAGUUCCCCAGGGUCCUUCAACUUGUGGUGCCUGAGGAUAGCUGCUUUUUUUCCAGUGCAGAUGGAGACACGGCAGCCUUGGGGGGAUGUGUGAAAGUAAGGCCUCCCUCCCUCUGCCUUUCCAAGUGGCUGAUCAUCUCCUUCCUUCUCAUAGCUACUUCUAGGAGAGGCAUCCAGGCAGGAACCACUUCUCCAUUUCACAGAUGGGAAGACUGAGAACCAUACUGGAAAGGGGUGUAUUUUAAUUAAACUGGAGAGUGGGGAACACUGAUGAGGAAAGCAAGCUGAUAGACGGAAGGCUCUGCCUGUCACUGCCAGCACGGGCACUUGGGCCUUCUUAUCAAGGGUUCUGAUGGGAGUUUCCACUAGGAUUCCAGGUGUCGAUCAUCUAGUAGCCGAGUUCUGAUGAGCUGGACUUUGGGUGGUUGAGGUAGGGAGCAGUGGAAAGGGGAAUUGGAGUCUUAUCAACCUCUUUGAACACCAGUUCCUUCCCCUCUCUUCUAUAAAAAUGUCGUAGCAAUACCUGCCUGGCAGAGUUGUGAGAAUUAAAUGAGAUGAUGAAUACAUCUGCUCUCAGCACCACACCACACCUGUGGCAGUCCUCAGAGAGAAGAAUCACAGCUUUCAUUCAUUGAGAGCUCACUAAGUGCCAGGUAUGCUCAGCUCUUGUGCAGACGUUCUUUUUCUUUGGAUGUAAAUGUGACAUGGGCAGAGCAGGAGGAGCUGUGAGGCUGGCUUGGCUGAGCCACAGGGAUUGCUGGCAUCUUAUAUGGCAUUCAGGACUAUGGAGGGUCCACGGGAAGAAACACAGAAACAGAACCCAAGUAUCCUUCGGGGACUCUUGGACUUUCUUCCCCUUGAUCUUAGACAUGCCUCAGUAAACAGAUGCUGGUUUCUAUCGAGACUCAUUCCUGGGGAAGGACCCCCACCAGCCAAGCAAGGUAAAGCCCAGACUCAGUUACAUGAAUUACAGGUUUAAGACAGAAGCCUUCCUAUGAAUAUUUUUCUGGCCAGUGGCUUAUAUAAGAGAAAUUUGCUCAUUGUAUUUCUAUCUGGCCAACGAAGGGGUCUAGAGGGGCUUUCAGCAACCCAAACAGUCUUGUCAGCCCUAACUCUGGACCUAAGGAAAUAAUUAUGAAUCCUCAAGAUCCAUUUAAAAGUGUCAUUACUGUAGAUAAACAAAGACGAGUGGAUGCUUCUUCCUACUCCACCUCACUGCAGAGAUUCCAUCCAUCCCAGGGUCACUGACCACUGACUGGAUGAACUAGGAUUGGUGUGGCAGAGUGGAGUUUUCAGGAGCCAAGAGACUCCUGGAUUGUCAUGCUCUGUACUCCUUCCCCACGAAAGGAAUGUCUAGAACUCCUGCUGAAAGUAGUCAUUGCCUGCAUUUCCUAGGCAGAAUGUGUUAGCUCCCUCCCCAGAAGAACCUGGGCGAAGAAGGUGUUCCAAUCUGCAUUUGGAAAGAAUCCCUCCCGCAAAGAACUCUACACCCUCUAAGAGAAGAUAACGUGAGGGCAUAUUCUCCUCUCUUAGAGGGUGUUUUCAAUACUAAAUUCUAUCUCUGAAGAGAAUGAGGACCCGAAGGGGGGCAGUGCACCA
ensembl:lncRNA PAX8-AS1 PAX8 antisense RNA 1